rnacentral:tRNA from 1 species
ACUCUAAUAGUUUAUGAAAACAUCGGUCUUGUAAACCGAAGAAUGAAGGCCGCCCCCCUUCUUAGAGUU